ensembl:snoRNA small nucleolar RNA SNORA54
GAGCACUGUUCGUAACCUGGUUCAGCUGCCCGUGUGAACUCUGGGUUCCAUUCCAGUGCCAUAGUGAUCUCCAGUGAGGCAGGGGAGCAGUGCCUGUUUGUGCUGACUCCCUGUUCACUCUCUGGGAACACCG